UACGUAGGAAGCAAGCGUUAUCCGGAUUUACUGGGCGUAAAGUGGACGUAGGCGGCCUUUCAAGUCGGAUGUGAAAUCUCUUGGCUUAACCAGGAGGGGUCAUCCGAUACUGUUGGGCUUGAGGGCAGCAGGGGAAGGUGGAAUUCCCGGUGUAGUGGUGAAAUGCGUAGAUAUCGGGAGGAACACCAGUGGCGAAGGCGGCCUUCCAGGCUGUUUCUGACGCUGAGGUCCGAAAGUGUGGGGAGCAAACAGG
rnacentral:rRNA from 1 species